CAGUCGCCGCGGUAAUACAGAGGGUGCGAGCGUUAAUCGGAUUUACUGGGCGUAAAGCGUGCGUAGGCGGCUUUUUAAGUCGGAUGUGAAAUCCCUGAGCUUAACUUAGGAAUUGCAUUCGAUACUGGGAAGCUAGAGUAUGGGAGAGGGUGGUAGAAUUCCAGGUGUAGCGGUGAAAUGCGUAGAGAUCUGGAGGAAUACCGAUGGCGAAGGCAGCCAUCUGGCCUAAUACUGACGCUGAGGUACGAAAGCAUGGGGAGCAAACAGGAUUAGAUACCCCAGUAGUCCCUGUCUCUUAUAC
rnacentral:rRNA from 1 species